GUCCCUUUGGGAAAUCCAAUAAAAUUGGAACGGUAUAGAGAAGAUUAGCAUGGCCCUUAACGGUAUAGACACGGAACAGACGAUAACUUUCCAACUUUA
rnacentral:snRNA from 1 species